rnacentral:rRNA from 1 species
UACAGAGGGUGCAAGCGUUAAUCGGAAUUACUGGGCGUAAAGCGCGCGUAGGUGGUUCGUUAAGUUGGAUGUGAAAUCCCCGGGCUCAACCUGGGAACUGCAUUCAAAACUGACGAGCUAGAGUAUGGUAGAGGGUGGUGGAAUUUCCUGUGUAGCGGUGAAAUGCGUAGAUAUAGGAAGGAACACCAGUGGCGAAGGCGACCGCCUGGACUGAUACUGACACUGAGGUGCGAAAGCGUGGGGAGCAAACAGG